GGUACGGUUAUAUACGACAAAUGUUAGAAAACAAAGGUACAUGUAGUCAUAUAUAACAUUAUAGAAUAUACUUUGAGUAAAUUACUAUCAUUACACUUCAUAAGUUUAUUUUUUUUUGUCUACUAUCUACAUUAUUUUCAUCCAAAAUAAAGAGAGAGAAUUGAAAUGCAAUAAAAAAUCAAAAGAUAAUAUGCUAUUUUUCCACCGACACAUUUUUGCAGUGUUCAUCAUCAUUAAGAGGAGUGCUAGCAUCACAUCCUCUCACACACUUCUUUAAACACAGUCCAAUCUAUUAAUGCCACAUCACCUUUUUUAAAAAUAAUAUUUACCUAUCAACCGGUUCAACAAGUUCAAAAUAUAUUUUCUUUUUUUUUUUAAUAAAAAAUAAAAAAAAAUAAAACUUUAACAUCUUUCUUCUCCGAUCCUCUUCAUCUCCAAGAACUUCAAUCACACAUCCCUUUGUUGCGUACAUAUCGGUUUUGCCACGAGCUCCGGCGGCCGUUGCCGUCUCCAUCGAGAGUGAACUAUUUGAUUUCAUGGAUUUGCUGGUAUUUUAUAAUUUAAUUGCUUCUAUGAAGAAGGUAUAUGAGUAUCCAUCUUUGGUAAUUAUACAAUUGAUUCAUGUUUUGCUAAACAAUUAUCUGGCAAUGAGGCUUGUUCAAAAAAAGUUAUGUGGCAAUGAGAAUUUUGGUAGUUAUAAAAUCUUUAGUUGAUUGCCAAACGAUGAACCUGCAGUAAAGAUCCAUGGAUGUGAUUGGAGCUACAAGAGAAGAGAUGGAGAGAAUUGGAGAAGACAUGUGUUAACUUGUUUAUUUUUUAAUUAAAA
rnacentral:lncRNA from 1 species